rnacentral:rRNA from 1 species
GCAGACGCUGGCGGCAGGCUUACACAUGCAAGUCCAGCGCCCCGCAAGGGGAGCGGCAGACGGGUGAGUAACGCGUGGGAAUCUACCUUUUGCUACGGAAUAACGCAGGGAAACUUGUGCUAAUACCGUAUGUGUCCUUCGGGAGAAAGAUUUAUCGGCAAGAGAUGAGCCCGCGUUGGAUUAGCUAGUUGGUGGGGUAAAGGCCUACCAAGGCGACGAUCCAUAGCUGGUCUGAGAGGAUGAUCAGCCACAUUGGGACUGAGACACGGCCCAAACUCCUACGGGAGGCAGCAGUGGGGAAUAUUGGACAAUGGGCGCAAGCCUGAUCCAGCCAUGCCGCGUGAGUGAUGAAGGCCCUAGGGUUGUAAAGCUCUUUCACCGGAGAAGAUAAUGACGGUAUCCGGAGAAGAAGCCCCGGCUAACUUCGUGCCAGCAGCCGCGGUAAUACGAAGGGGGCUAGCGUUGUUCGGAAUUACUGGGCGUAAAGCGCACGUAGGCGGAUCGAUCAGUCAGGGGUGAAAUCCCAGGGCUCAACCCUGGAACUGCCUUUGAUACUGUCGAUCUGGAGUAUGGAAGAGGUGAGUGGAAUUCCGAGUGUAGAGGUGAAAUUCGUAGAUUUCGGAGGAACACCAGUGGCGAGCGCUCACUGUCCAUUACUGACGCUGAGUGCGAAAGCGUGGGGAGCAAACAGAUUAGAUACCCUGGUAGUCCACGCCGUAACGAUGAAUGUUAG